rnacentral:lncRNA from 1 species
UUCUCUAAUUAUAUAAUCCCCAUGUAUCGAGUAGGUAUGUUUAGUGGUUUUCUGUAAGACAACCCUCGUUUUAUGUAAAAGUGAAUUUCUUUUUUAACCCUAAAGGCAGUGAAAUUUAAAAUCAAAUCAAGUUCGAAUUUUGGAUAGUGGGACUGGUUUUCGAGUAUACCCUGGACAUCAGGUCCUCGCUUAUAACUUGAAAGAAUCUGUUUUUCUUGAUUCCUACUAAAAGAAUUUCUUGCUCAAAUACUUUUCAAUACUUUCUCUCAUAAAAAAGGAAUUCGUAUAAGUAUUACAGAAUCAGAGAAAUUCACCUUUAUUAUUUUUCUCUUUUUCUUUUUAUAUAUGAAAUCAAG